UACGUAGGGUGCAAGCGUUGUCCGGAAUUAUUGGGCGUAAAGAGCGUGUAGGCGGUUCGGUCAGUCCGCUGUGAAAGUCCAGGGCUCAACCCUGGGAAGCCGGUGGAUACUGUCGGGCUAGAGUCCGGAAGAGGCGAGUGGAAUUCCUGGUGUAGCGGUGAAAUGCGCAGAUAUCAGGAGGAACACCAAUGGCGAAGGCAGCUCGCUGGGACGGUACUGACGCUGAGACGCGAAAGCGUGGGGAGCAAACAGG
rnacentral:rRNA from 1 species